rnacentral:rRNA from 1 species
AGUGAACGCUGGCGGUAGGCCUAACACAUGCGAGUCGAACGGCAGCACAGUAAGAGCUUGCUCUUACGGGUGGCGAGUGGCGGACGGGUGAGGAAUACAUCGGAAUCUACUUUUUCGUGGGGGAUAACGUAGGGAAACUUACGCUAAUACCGCAUACGACCUACGGGUGAAAGCAGGGGAUCUUCGGACCUUGCGCGAUUGAAUGGGCCGAUGUCGGAUUAGCUAGUUGGCGGGGUAAAGGCCCACCAAGGCGACGAUCCGUAGCUGGUCUGAGAGGAUGAUCAGCCACACUGGAACUGAGACACGGUCCAGACUCCUACGGGAGGCAGCAGUGGGGAAUAUUGGACAAUGGGCGCAAGCCUGAUCCAGCCAUACCGCGUGGGUGAAGAAGGCCUUCGGGUUGUAAAGCCCUUUUGUUGGGAAAGAAAAGUAGCAGGUUAAUACCCCGCUGUUCUGACGGUACCCAAAGAAUAAGCACCGGCUAACUUCGUG